rnacentral:rRNA from 1 species
GACGAACGCUGGCGGCGUGCUUAACACAUGCAAGUCGAACGGUAAGGCCCUUCGGGGUACACGAGUGGCGAACGGGUGAGUAACACGUGGGUGAUCUGCCCUGCACUUCGGGAUAAGCCUGGGAAACGGGGUCUAAUACCGGAUAGGACCCCUCCCUGCCUGGGUGGUGGUGGAAAGCUUUUGCGGGGUGGGAUGGGCCCGCGGCCUAUGAGCUUGUUGGUGGGGUGAUGGCCGACCAAGGCGGCGACGGGUAGCCGGCCUGAGGGGGUGACCGGCCACCCUGGGACUGGGAUACGGCCCAGACUCCUACGGGAGGCAGCAGUGGGGAAUAUUGCACAAUGGGCGCAAGCCUGAUGCAGCGACGCCGCGUGAGGGAUGACGGCCUUCGGGUUGUAAACCUCUUUCAGCACCGACGAAGCGCAAGUGACGGUAGGUGCAGAAGAAGGACCGGCCAACUACGUGCCAGCAGCCGCCGUAA